rnacentral:rRNA from 1 species
AACCCUUGUUAUUAGUUGCCAUCAUUAAGUUGGGCACUCUAAUGAGACUGCCGGUGACAAACCGGAGGAAGGUGGGGAUGACGUCAAGUCAUCAUGCCCCUUAUGACCUGGGCUACACACGUGCUACAAUGGGCAGUACAACGAGAAGCAAGCCUGCGAAGGCAAGCGAAUCUCUGAAAGCUGUUCUCAGUUCGGACUGCAGUCUGCAACUCGACUGCACGAAGCUGGAAUCGCUAGUAAUCGCGGAUCAGCACGCCGCGGUGAAUACGUUCCCGGGCCUUGUACACACCGCCCGUCACACCA